AUGCAGUACUGGUCCUUGGAACGGAUCGAGGAAAUCCUCGGGAAGAAGGUGCGCGUCGACCGCCUCGACAGCAGGACGCAGGAGCGCGGGCACACGAAGACAUUUGCCUGUUGGGUCUGGACGAGCGACGUCGCCCACAUCCCCACCAAGCACACGCUCGGGGUCCUGCCGCGCGGCGCGGGACGCAUCGAGGAGAUGCAGGGCUAUUCGCCGCCCGACCGGCGCGUUGCUCCACUGCCGGGCACCACGGACUACACCAUGCUCAUCCACGUCGACAGGGGCGAGGACUGGACCCCCCCAUCGCCGCGCUCUUUGCACUCUGCCCAAAGCGGG
rnacentral:rRNA from 1 species